UUGCUGGUCGAGUUAGGCACGACAGUUGGCGGCCCCCUACGGGGAAAACUCUUUGAAAAGAGGGAGCUCAGAACUUCUCGCUGUCAGGGGUCAACAAGAUCCGAUCUGGGUACCGGAAAGAUUGGUGAGAAAAGCACAAUUGACGCAGUCUCAGGAAGAUGCUUCUGCAAACAUGCCUGAUGUUCCUGCUGAGUCUACAGCCAGGGAAGAUGGAACAGAGAUGGGGGAUCCUGUCUGCAUUCCCGAAACCAAUGCCAGUACAACAUGAUGCACAGGUUUUUCCUAGGCUGUUUACCUCUAAUAAAGCUAUUAAUCUCCCUUA